GGUUCUUCAAGGGACUAGAAGCUAAAGGAGAAUUUAUCCAACAAGUCUGAACAGAGCUUCCUGACUGGACAUCAUUUGAAGGCACCUGGCAGACAUCUCAAGACAAUGGGUUGGGCCGUUCUUGCUCCCUCCCUUGGGCAAUGUCCCUCCAAACCAGCCUCGCUUGGCAUGACCUUUCUUCGGAGCCCAGGGGAGGGCUUUGUCCUCUGGAGGAGACCCCGCUUGUCCCUUCAGGAACCAGACAUCUCUUGCCUCCAGGCUGCAGAGAAGCUUCAGCAGCAAAAUUGCGAUGGUCCCGAGAGCCUUUCCGGAAACCCUGGGGCUCGCGCCCUCCCCUCUCCCACGGGCCUAACCUUGGGCCGAGAGUCCCAGAAUCACUCGCCCAAGUAAGUGAGGUUUUUUUGUUGUUGUUGCUGUUGUUGUUGUGUUUUUUGUUUGUUUGUUUUGUUUUUUGUUUUUUGCCCCCUGUGUGCUUUGCGGAUCUUUCCUCCUGGGGUUGUCAAACGGAGGGCCAAACUUGCUCCUUUCCCCUUUUGUUGGUUCAUACUCAGACCCAGGGCUUGUGCGCAGUGUGGCAUCGAGAGGCUGCUUUUGAAGAGACGUUCGGCGGAUGGAGCGUGGAUGCUGUAUUGCAGGUGCAGACCACCUGGCUCUGGCAGGCCAGCGGGCAAGCCGGCACCGGAGGUUCUCGCAGGCUUCCUUUCCUGGUGUUUCACUCCAAGAAGUCCAGGAAUUUUAAAUCCAUUCCUGUCAUCCUGGGUAACCAUAAUGGUAGACUUUUCAAAGUAAGAGAAUACAAGCUAUUUCAUUUUCGAUUGCAAAGUCUUUUUGGUGUUCGUUUGUAUGUUUUUCCUUAAGCUGGUCGGGAUCUUUGAGAGAGAGAGAGAGAGAGAGAGAGAGAGAGAGCCUAAAGGUAGAUGGCAACCUUGCCACUAACAUUUGCAGGUGCCAGUGCAAAGAGUAAAGAAAAGAGGCAACAAAGCUCCUUAGGCUGCUGGGUGGAUUGCCAGGAUAGCUUAUUUUGUCUUCUAUUCAUGGUCCUCGAGGGCUAGGAACAAGGAAAUCGACAUUUUCAGUCCCAGGCUCGCGCUAGAAGGAUUAUAGCAGGUCCUCACUACAAUAAGGUGGGAUUCCCAAGGUCUAAGCCCUUGGGGGUAGGGGUGAUCUUAUCUAGUCCUGCCCCUUCAGGUCCCAGGGCUCUUUGGACAAGGCGGCCUUGGCACUACAAAUAAUAUAAGGAAAAGGAAUGUUGAAAAAGCCCUUGAGAAUAAAUAAAUAAGGAAGGAAGCUCA
rnacentral:lncRNA from 1 species